AUAAGUAUAUAUAAAUAAUAUUUUAAUAACAGGGAUGUUGCGAAUAUAAUCGAUAAUAAGACAAUUUUAUCAACAAUAAAAACACGUCUUGCAAAUUAAAAGAUACAAAAAAAAAAACAAAAAACCAAUAUAUUACAAAUAUAUAUAUAUACCUGUAUGUGUGUGUGUAUACACUAUAUACCAUAUCCAGUUACUCGGAUAAAUAAGUAAAAAUAUUUGUAUAAUCGUAUAUAUACGAGCGUGUAUAUAUAUAUAUAUAUAUAUACACAUAUAUAUACAUACCUAUAAUGUGUAAAAAAAAAAACAAAGACGGCGGCGAGUAUAUUAGUCCCAUCGUUAGUCAACAGGUAUCGCGUAGGGCGAAGGUAUACUCGCGCCGUUCCUGGAUAGGUCGCGAGAAGUGCGACGAGGAGAUAGGUAGAGGGUUGGGAUGGCGAGGGGUGGGGGGAUAGAGGAGAGGUGGUACGGCCCCUGGCGCGCGAUGGGCCAGUCUUGCGCGUUGCCUCGCCGGUCGCUUGGGUCGACCGGCUGCCUCAGUCGAAAUUCGACCGUGCAGCGCGACGUAUAUUAUAGUUUGGAUAUACGACGAGCGGCGGCCGCUGUAGUACAUAAUUCGCGAUUGCGGCAACGCGAUAGUAACAGGAACACGCGCGCAAUCGGUUCGCGUUUGAAAUUACGAAACUGACGAAAAGGAAGGAGAAAGAAAGAGAGAAAGAGAGAGUGAGGGAGAAGGAGAGAAAGAGAGAGAGAGA